ACGAUAGCGCGUCAUGUCCUGCACGGAAAAACCGGAAAGGAAACAAGCCCUGUGCGCCCGCAGUCAAUCUCGCUCAGGUUUCCUCUUCAACAAUCGCCAGGUUCCCCCUGCCUAUCACCUCCACCGCCUUCCCCGCCUCAGGCGCCGCCCAAUCCUCCUGCUCCGACGACCCUCAGGCGCCGCCCCAUCCUCCUGCUCGAACGACCCAGCCCUCCAGAUCCAGCGUGGCCCGCUCUCCUGCUUCGUUGGCAGCCAUGGAUUCCCACCGUUCCUGCCUAGGGCGGCGGAUUGCAGCCGCGACGGCUCCCCUCCGCAACCCCCUGAAGCGCCGCCACGGCGGUAUCUCACGGCUGUGUGUCACCACGUGCAGGUUCCCCUCUACCCCGGCCCCCAAUCUUCUAGGUUUAGUUCGACGCCGCAUCCCUGCCGUCCACCUCCGUCGAAUCCCUCGCCUCCAACCAACCGUUGCCCGGGAGCUCCUCCGCAACCCACUUCCUGCUGCCACAAAGGUGGCUGCAAUCUACAAUCUACGGCCUUCUGCAAUUUUCCUGGAGAAGCUCCUCACUCCUGUGCGCGGCUCAUCGCCUUCAAGAUCUCCACAUCACGGGUGAGAUUAGGCUCGGAAAGGUUAGUUUUUUUUUCCUUCUGUUUCCUGGACCAUGUGUUGCUUUGGCCAUAUGGUUUCUCAUCUGCUUUGGCCAUGUGGUGACCAGAUUAGCGAUUAGUAUUUGCAGAUGACAAGGUUAGAGAUUAGGCUCUACAAGAGUGACAUUUGUGCUCAACAUGUGCUUGUGUUAAUGCCUACAAGAAACUAAAUUUUCGUGGUACUUCCAUUUGGUACAGAAAAUGAAUUUAGGCAGUGAAACAUGAAGUCAUAGGCAGACACCAUCAUAGUUGAUUUUUUUGGCAUAAGACUUGAGAAGGUAACCUACCCUGAAUCUCUUCAUAAGUUCAUAUGAUCUAAUUCAAUUUAUGAGAACAGACAGAGUAUGCUCCGUUUGGUGCUAAUUUAACCUUUAUAUAGGUAGCAUAAAACUCAACAUCGGUUAAGCUUCUGAGCAGCUCAUUGGGUAUGUAUUUGUGACUUGUGUAAGGGAAAAGGCAAUACUGACUGUAGCAUAAAAAUUCAAUAUAUUUUUCUACCGCAAGUAGCAUAAAAACUCAACAUUUGUUUUAGACGGAUUUCUGUUUUUAUAAUGCAAGUAGCAUAAAAAUUCCUAUGUUCCUCUCUAAGAUUUCAGUUCACAGUACUGUUUAGUCCCUUUGAGCCUUGAUGCAUUACUCAUCUUGGUACUUCCAUCCAUUGCAAAGGUAUUUAUAUCCGAUUCUGAGAUUAGUAGCUUUUGUCAAACCCGUGGUGGUGCCCCAAUGUUUUUUUUUCUCCAAGAUGAAACAUAUGUUCUGCCUCCUUCCAUCCAUUACAAAGGUAUCCCUAUCCGAUUCUGAGAUUAUCCGUAGCUUAAUAUUUGUGAUCUCAGGGGUUUUCCUAGCUGUAUUUUGAAUCAUUUUUCUUGAUCUGAUUCUUAAUCAUGCAAUCAGCAAUUCAGCAUAGCCUCUACAGCUCUACAUGAUCAAAUGAUUAAAGUGUUGUAAAUACUGUUUCAGGUUUUAUUUAGUAGUUAAACCUGGAUAACCAUGUUAUUAUUUCUAUGGUUAGUUCAUGCUUGGUUUUGGUUUUGAAGCAAUAGAAGUUAUUAGUCAUCUGACAAUGGUUUUUGCUUCAAAGUUGAAAAAAAUAGUUAGGUAGUUAAUGGCGUAAUGGACGAGAAUUUCUGGUUUGUUUUUGGCUUUGUGGUAAGUUAAUGUCCCUAGAAGUAGGAAAACUGCAAGUCUGCAAUGAAGUCCGCCCCUUUCUAAAUUUCACUGCAACAACAUGGAUUCCACUAGGGACAAGAGAAGCGUUAUUAUUUUACUUGCCAUGCAUAUCAGUUUUCACAUGCAUUUUAUAGAAAUAUUGGUUAUUUACUUUGUUACCCAUAAUUAAUUUGUUUGUCAUGCAUGCGAGUCGAACCAAGAUAAGGGGAGAAUGGGAGAUGAAGCCAGAUGAUGAGGAAGAGAAAUAGAAGAAUUACAUUGCUACUGUGAACCAAACCAUAUCCAGUCUUCCGGAAAGAUUGUACUAUUUUAUUGUUUGAUGAAUGGAAUGCACGCCAUCUUUACCGCAUAAAUGAAAAGAUAUAUAGAUAUAUAGUUUUCUGUAGUGUAACCAGAGGUACUUCAUAUCAUUAUAUAUAGAUAGAUAGAUAGUUUUCUAUGAUUUCUGUAAUGGCUUCUCUUGCUUUGUCUUUUGUGAUCCUAUUGAAUUUUAAAUGUAAAACCAAUCUGUACUACUCGUGGGUGUCUCGAGAUAAACAUAAUUCUUCAUAUUUAGUCGACUCAUUUGUUUCCAA